rfam:Heterocephalus glaber contig125938, whole genome shotgun sequence.
GGCUUUGCGCUGUGGCAGUAUCAUAGCCAAUAGGUUUAUCCAAGGCACAAUUAUUGCUAAUUGAAAACUUAGAGUCCAACUCAU